ACUGGGGAAUAGAAAGGAGCCAC
rnacentral:miRNA from 1 species